AGGAGGCUGACAGCAACCUGAGGCAGAAAGAUGAUGAACUGCAGAAGAUCAUUGAGAGGCUAAACGAAACGACUGAAGAGCACAAGCAGCAGACUGUGCUACAUGAAUCUAAGAGUGAAACAGAAUCUUUGAUCAAGAAGAAUCAGGAGUUGGAGAAAGAAAUUACCCAACUGAAGAACAAGUAUGAGCAGCAGUCUGAUGCUGAAGCCCAGCAGGAGCUAAAGGAUGAACAGCAGGAGAGCAGUGAUGCUACAGAAAGUCCAAAGGAGCUGAAAACAGAACCGGAAAACGAGAACCAAAAGCAGAAUAAGGAGCAGCCUGAAAGGUUUCUGGUUGCUGAGGAGCUGAAAGUGGAGACUGAGAUUUCAGAGGGCAGGGACCUCAGGAAAGAGGUG